rnacentral:rRNA from 1 species
AACGAACGCUGGCGGCAUGCCUAACACAUGCAAGUCGAACGAGACCUUCGGGUCUAGUGGCGCACGGGUGCGUAACGCGUGGGAACCUGCCCUUAGGUUCGGAAUAACUCCCCGAAAGGGGUGCUAAUACCGGAUAAUGUCUUCGGACCAAAGAUUUAUCGCCUUUGGAUGGGCCCGCGUUGGAUUAGCUAGUUGGUAGGGUAAAAGCCUACCAAGGCGACGAUCCAUAGCUGGUCUGAGAGGAUGAUCAGCCACACUGGGACUGAGUCACGGCCCAGACUCCUACGGGAGGCAGAAGUGGGGAAUAUUGGACAAUGGGCGAAAGCCUGAUCCAGCAAUGCCGCGUGAGUGAUGAAGGCCUUAGGGUUGUAAAGCUCUUUUACCCGGGAUGAUAAUGACAGUACCGGGAGAAUAAGCUCCGGCUAACUCCGUG